GCAAAAACUCUCUUUAUUAGUUGUUGCUGUUUCUUUCUUUCUUUUUUCUUUCUUUUUUUUUUUUUGAAAAAUAACGACCUCUCUGAGGCGCGAAUUCCGACAGUGAGAGGAACGGCCGGAUACAGGAGACGGGAAGAAACAAGCCGAUUAUGUUCGCGUUAAUUAAGUGGUUGGAAGAUGUAAAAUUCUCAAUCCUGCCAACUGAACAUAUACGAGAUUUUAAUGAGGAUGAAUAAUUAGCCGGCAUGGAGGAAACGGACCUUUAUUUGGUGGAGUGGCGACAAGAAGCCAAAAGACGGGUGGCCGGUCUAUGAAGCCUCCAUCAUCAAGCUAGCAGGUGCCUUUUCUCAUAUAAUAUUACUUUAUUCUCACUUAUUUGGCACGGAAGCGUAGAGCUGCAGCCCAGGCAAAAGAGAAAUAUAAGUUUAUCACGUUAUAACGUGAAAAGUUUAUCGUUCUAACAAUAUACUAUCAUGUUUAUACAAUAUACUUUUCGUGUUUGAACAUUGUAUGAACAAUGUACAUAAUUAUCACAUCCGCACAAUAUUGUGCGAACGUGAUAAUUAUGUAUAUUAUAAUAACGUGAUAUUAUAUUAUACAAACAUGCAAAGCAUAAUGUUAGAACAAUAAACAUUUCACGUUAUAACGUGAUAUAGCUCUAUUUUGCUUUUGCCUGGGUGGCAGCUCCACGCUUCCAUAAUUUGGUAAUCAAAAUAUGUAACUUAAUUAAUUAUGUUGUGACGUACUUUUGCCUUUUCUUAUUAUUCUGCCUUCUCAGAAAGGGAAAAAAAUACAAAUAAAAUUGUUUACACUUGUUAUAUACAAUAACUAUCAAAACCUAUUCACAUUUAAUUUGGCUUUCACAGAAAUCCCACCUCUCCUUCUGGCUACAGAGUACUUACUUACCAAGGUUAGAAACAAAGCACAGUUAUGCUUUAUUAAUGUUCGCUAAUUACAAUGUUCCACAUUUCCUUGCUUUUUAAGUCAUUUUUAGGCUUUUUAGAGUUGUUGUUUUUUGUUUUUUUAGCUGUAAUGUUUCUGCCUAUUUAUUUCAGCCCAUGAAAUCGAAUGCAGAUCUUCCUGAUGUGAGAUUUACAUAAAUAUGUCAAAGUCUCAACCUCAUGCUGCCCUCCCCCAUCCUCCUAAACCUGUGGAUACAAAUGCAGAUUUCCUUAAUGUUCAAUGGUGCGUGUUCUUCUAAUGGCCGCCUUCCCACUGGAGGUUUUGAUCCACAGCAAUUUAAAAGGAGGACAGAGCAAAACGGACAUCGGCACAGAGUGAAGAACUG
ensembl:lncRNA